AGUGUUGAAAGAUAGGUAGGCUCUGUGAAAACCAUCACCUCAGUUCCCCCACCUCACCAUACCAGGCAGCUUGACCAUGACUCCGAAUAGGCAAGUGACACCUCCUCAGGGCUGUCUCAGCCCAUCCUGACCGUCCUGGGAAGGGAAGCAACCCAUGCUGACAGCACAGUGAGGUACCUGAGAGAGCAUCAGUCCUCCUGGGAACCAUCAUCCUGGAGUCAGAGUGAUAAACUGGGCUUGACUUUUCCAUUGAAAAAUGUACAUCUGUGAAACCAGGAGCUGCCUUGAAGAGCUGCUAUCUUAUACAACCCAAUGGAUACCUCAGAAUGGCUUCUUUACACGGCACAGUUCUUCAAGGCCUCUUGGCCUCUUUCCCUGGGUGUUCAUAGCAAGACAGUCAUCAAAGCUGAUACCUAGUGAGGAUCAGAUAGCAUAGCAGGGUGGAAGCAUCAGAACAGCACAUGGUUGGGGGUGCUGGGUCCUCUUCUCCUUGGGUGCCUCUCUCCUGGACCUUCCCAGCCUACUCAGAAGGGGUCCAUAGUUCAGCUUAGGGCAGGCUCACACUCAGCCUUGCUGGGGUCCUUUGGUCCCCUGGGGACCUGUGUAUGACACAGGGAGGCCACUACUUUGAGAAAAAUGACCCUGGUGUUGGAUUCAGGAAGGCAGCCCCAGCCCUGUCCUGCAUUCACAGCCUUGGAUAAGUCAAUACUUCCUUUCUCUAACCUCAUCUCCCCUCCUCUGCAGGGAAGGGGCUGAGCAUCCUUCCCUCCAUAUUCUGUGGUUCCACACUUAGCUCCUUCAGUCCAGAGGCCUAGGCCUUGUGCCAAAUUAGAUGUUGCUAAUCAUUCGCAGCCACAGAAUUGGAAAGCAGCAGCGUCAGGGACAGGCUACUCCCCUACCUCAACCAAGAAUAAACACUUCUUAUUCUGAGCCCACUUUCAACCAGAACACUUGCUCUGAGCAAAAGAAUCUUCCUUCCCAUGCUCAACCCAGCCAUAAUUUUUCUAACCACAUGGCAAACCUCAGCCACUCCAGUUUCCAGAAAGACUCCUUAACUUUACGGAACAUGCCAGAUUAUCUCUUGGUGUUUGGUCCCCAGUGACGACUUUGUCGGUGGUCUCCAGGAAUUCAAAGACACUCCGGAGCUCAGGCCAAAUUCUUUUCUCUGGAGAGCUGAAUUGUUCUGUAAAUUUGUAACUAUGCUGGCCACCUCAUGUGCUAAAGGAAGAAGCCAGUGGACCACCAAGAAAUGAAAGUUUAUUACUCCAUGUCAGGUGCUAUACUAGACAUGGUAUUCUCAAUUAUGCACAUGGCCCCCACACUGAGGAGGACACUGAGGGAUGCUAAGUGAUUCAUACCAAGACAAACAGCUAGAAAGUGAUGGAAUAAGGAUUUGAACACAGAUCUGACUCCAAAAUCCAUAUUCUUCCUAUUACCCUAGAGGUAUAUGUCUUCCAAAGCAUGUAGAUGCUGAAAAGAAAAUGUCUAUUCAAAGAUUAAACAAAGUAGAUGUUC